UCUCUGCCUGUCCGGAUCUGCCACGGCGCCUCAACAUUGGCUUUGGAAGCUGCAGAUUGUCUUCCUGGGGGUCUAACCUUGGCACCCAGAGGAGAAUAUGCUUCAUGAGUAUGGUAGUUUUGGAGUAUGUUGGUUUUUAAGUCAUUUGCAGGACAAUGCAAAGAUGAGCUUGUUAUAUCUUCAUAUGACUGUGCACGUCUGACAGGCUUUAUAGAAAUAUCUAUAUAUACAUUUACAUUAUGUUAAAGCAGGAUUAUUUUCAUUUUAAACAACAGGUCUGUUUGCUCAUUAUUCACAUGACAUAUAUUCUACUGUAUAUAUUCCAUUAUUAUUAUUAUUGCCUUUAUUUCCCUGCACUGGGCUCCUUGAGCUCAGCGCUCGCGUGCACUUGGCUCACGGAGCUGCAUUUGUCAGUCAACUGAUUUCAGGCAAUUUGUCAAAUCCGCCGACAGGAAGAAGAACCCGGAGUUAAUCCUGAUAGUUCUGACAGGUCAUCCGUUCCAGUCUACAGUAUGGAGAACAUCGGUGUGUCUCAGCUUCUUUUGAGCCUGAUUCUCCCAAGUCGUCUUCCUGAAUGAACUGACUUCACUAAUCUGUGUGCUAAUGUCUGGUAAAUUACACUCUAAUGAAUAUUUGUGACAUCAGGUCAUUAGAUCCAGAUAAACUGCAGCGUCCUAUGUAUUGUAUGACUUCUUUGCCACAUCGCUCCAGGUCUUUUAACGGGCUCCAUGGGCUCACAUGCUGAUACAUGGCCCGGGGUCAGACUGCUUUAAUUGGGCAGCAGCACCUGUGGCAGCCAACAGGCAGGGGUUCCCUCGGAUGCACAGCUGAAACGCACUUCCUCCGACAAGCACCUAAAUAAGAGGUUGAGCCGCCCAAACACAGUGUGUCCGCCGAUGCUGAUUACAGUGAACACGCAUUCCAGCUGGAAGGCACCGCGCCGCGUCGCGUUUCUGCUCGCUGUUCAUCCUUUCACUGAGCCGCGACGUGACCCGACAGCGAAGGGCCCAGUGUUUGCUGCAGCUUGGUGCGUUGCCCAACUCUGCUAAAUAAUUACAAGGGUUGAAAUCCACCUGUGUGUGCUCAGACUGUGUUUGCUUAAACGUGCGUGUUUACAUGUGUUAAACAGGGUCUAAGCCCGUAACUCUAUCCACGUGAACCCGUGUGUGUGUGUGUGUGUGUGUCUGCACUGUAUGUGGAACGUGUAUGCAGCCCACAGGUACAGUAGUGUGUUCAGCACUGAAGAGAUAUUGACGACUGGCACACAAACUCUAAUUAUACUAAUGAUAAUAAUUAGAAGAAAUUAGAACAAAGUAUAUAACAUUUGGCUGCCAGGCAAUAUACACUAAUACUUAAAAAAAUGCUGCAGCCUCACAGACUUGCGACUGUGUGGACGACCGUGUGGUCCAGUAAACCGACAGCAUGAGGCCUUGUCUAAUGAGACUGGACCCUUAACUUACAGUAGGACAUUGGAUCCUGCUGUAAAUUGAACAUGACCUACUCAGAGCUACGUCUAAGUAUUUACUGUAUUGUACAAAGUUGCCUCAUGGUAAAAAUAAAAUAUGCUAAUGUACAAUUCACAAAAUUCUGCUAGAAAUGCAAAAAUCCCAUCUUUUCUUUUUCAGUCUGUUUCACUUCAAAUUGUCUUCUCAAGUUCUUAUCGCUGCUUCAUCUCCCUGUCAGACACUUCACUUUCAUCCACGACUGCAUUUGUCAGUCUGUAGCAAGAGGACAGAUUGAUCUAUUGUUUAUUUAGCCUGCUAGGACGCUGAUAUUAGAUCCCUUUACCAUACAUACCAGUAACGUCACACCCAAAGUUGCCAUCAAAUGGCUGCCCUCCAAAUGCACAAACUCAUAACUUAAAUCAACAAACUUAUAAACAGAAUGUACAAUGAACAUAAAGACACGGAACCCAAAGGAGUCUAAAAGUCAAGUCACAAACUUACAGAAUUCUAACAAGGUAACAGGAAAAAUUAACCAAGAUAAUCGUUAAACUAAGGAAGCUAAUAGAAGACUGAAACAAACUAAUAGCAAAACAGAGUCACAUGAAUAAAACAUAACAUAAUGAAACAAACAGAUAGCUGUAAAACAAACUAACUAACUCACAAGUAAAAACUAGACACCGGCGAACAAAAGAGGCCUAAUGAAGUCAACAAAGAACAGGCAACAUUUGAAAACAAGAUCAAACAUCAACUGCUGCGUCAAAACAAGCACGACUGUAUGAUGAGUCCUAAUAAAGUGACAAUGAGUCAAAACAGGAGACAGGAAAUGAAAUUAUGGCAGAAACAAAAAAGCAUGGAAACAUGCAUUUAAAGUUUGUGUGUGUGUGUGUGUGUGUGUGUGUGUGUGUGUGUGUGUGUGUGUGUGUGUGUGUGUGUGUGUGUGUGUGGUUCAUGGUCGGCCUACCACACCCAGAGGCCACUGUGAGUGUGGUUCACUGCCCAGCCGUCAAAAUCAACUCCAUAUUGUCCAGGUUUAGAUGUCUCACCUGUGGAAACAACCCUGGGCAGGACGUUUGCCAACAGCAGCUCAUUUCCAUCCGUGCACAUCGUGGGCACGGCCUCUGUUUAUGUCAGCUGUGAUUCCAGUUUACUCUGCUGUUAAACUUGAAAAAGCGGCAUCCAAACCUCGUCUUCUCCCAGGCUUUACUUUUCCGUCUCGGAGGUUUUGCCUACAAUUUGGAGGUUUGCCCACGUGACUGCGAUGAUUAUUUCUUUCCUCUGCCAGAAUUGGUACACAACUGGUUCCUUUAAGACAGCAGAAAGACCCAACUUGAGAGAAUUCUAGUAAACAGUUUUGGCAGGUUUGAUCCAAAACGCCUUCAAUGCCACAUUCUGACAGCAUCAUGCGCUGAGCUUUUCUGUUAAAGGAAAAAUCCCGGUGUAAAGCACCAGAUCCGGGCUGCCAACAUUAACAACGAGCUACACCGUGUUCCUUAACAUUAGCCAAGCGCCGACCCUCCUCGCUGCAGAGAGCAGGAGGCUCAGGCUGCUGUCACUUUGAAUGACUCCAUGAAUCGAGCCGGGCCUUUCAGAGAGCACUCUUUGGCUGUAAGCUGUUUUGACGUGAGCUCUAAUGCCUCUCGUGCGCUUGGCCAAAGGCUUUGGGUUCAGAACCCUGUUCAUAAGGGGGGAGGGUUGCCAGGUUUGGCAGCUCGCGGCCUGCAGAAGCUGGAGUGGUGCUUCUCAGCCUGGCCGAGAGUGAUUGGCUGCGGCGUGUGGCUCACGCGGGGCUGCUGCUCAUCUCCCGUCACUGCUCCAAGCUUCAGUCUGUCUGUCUGUCUGUCUGUCUGUCUGUCUGUCUGUCUGUCUGUCUGUCUGUCUGUCUGUCUGUCUGUCUGUCUGUCACUCAGUCCGUCUGCUGUCUGCCAGCCAGCACACGAAACACUACGGAAGGAUUAUUAGCUACGUACAGUAUGCUGAACUCUUCUCUACUUAGAACAAUCGAGACAAACUAAAAACUAAAUUCAAUAAUAAUUCAACAAUGAAUUGAAAUCAGAUGUGGCUAAAAAAUGACGUUUCACAGCCCUAAACCGCUUGAUCAGUGGAUGCGGACUAACAAUUUUUCGAAUGUGUGUGACCUAUAUUCCUAUUUAAAACCAUCUGUAUGCGCCUUUCUUGAAUCAAUGAUGACAUAACUUAAAUGAACUGCACUUCACAUUAUGUUUAUUUGCAUAUGUUUAAAGAAUCACUCGUGAUUUCCCAUCUGUAGCGUGUGUAGAUCCCUUAAACAGUGCUAUGACCUGAACAAUGGAUAAUGUAACUACUUAGAAUAUACUGAGUUGCAGAAACCACGCGAAGUCCUGUGAGCAGCGGCUGCACAGCUCUCUGCUGUGCUCUCCUCCAAGCGAAGCGGCCCUAGUGUGCAGCACACCACAACAAGGCCAGUCAGCUACCGCAAUGCGGUCCUGCCCCGACGGCAACUCCUGCAACAAAGUGCGAGAGAACGUUUCCUCUGGAUGUGACGUGAAGAUCACAGGAGGAACUGUGACAGAUAGAGCCGCCGCCGCUGCGUCGAUCACCCUGGGUGAAUGGGGAUCCCCAGGCCUCUCGUUUGGCUCCUGACGAUGUGGGGAGCGGCGGUGGGAGCCUCUGGACUGCCAGAGACAGGUGCAGGCCAAGAUAUGAGAGGCUCAUUAUGGCGCUGACGGAUAAGUUGCUCUCAGAGACUCGGGGCAGAGCCGCGCGGCCUCCGUGGCCGCUCCAGUGUCACUCUUCCUCUGGCCGUUUGUGUGAGGCUAACCGCUGGAGCAAAGGUGCUGUUGUGCCUUGUCACUGUGCACACGUUCAAAGCAGAGGAGAGAAAAGAUUCAAUGACCAGAGCGACUUCCCGGCGCAAAUGUGUCAUCGAGAGCUUUUCAGAUUGUUCACAAACACGGCCGCAAUCUAAGCAGCAGGCCGGCGUUCACAUGAAACCGUAUUCACGCGGGGGGAAGAAAAGCGCAGCACACGCCCCAGAAAGCGGACGCUGACUCACGAAGGCAAAAUAAAACCACGCGCUGGGACUGUGAGAAAGGUUUGCAUCAAAAGCACGAUUGAUGUGCAACUGGCUAAAAUGUUGCUCAUUUGUCUCAGAACAAACAAAACAAUAGCAAUAACGCAAUGUAAAUGAAAAUGAGUGAGGACCUGGAUCUACUGUAGAUCUACUGUGGAAUCCAGAUGCUAACAAUAUGUAUUCACCUCAGUAAGUAACUGAGAGCAACAGCCUUUCUGGGAUCUGGACUUCACUAACUUAGGAGCCAGGGUUGAGCGAGUGGUGGGACGUUGACCCCUGACCUGAGGAAGUCAUUUAGAUAGUGAAGCCCACUGAAUCCUCCUUCCUUUGAGCAUCUCUUGUCGUUUAGUUGUGGAUUAUUGCUUGGAAGACUUCAUAGUUCCACUGCAAUGUCCAAACAAUUCAAUAAAGACAAUAAUAAAACAAAAUGAACAGUGACCCUUCGGUGCACGUGUUCUGGCACCCGGAAAGAGAGAGAGGCGGUUGUUUGGUUUGAGUUUGGUUUGUAGUUCUUGGUGCCGAGUCGCGGGCUCACGCCGACACGACUCGGUUUUGCAUCCCGUUGUACAGCGUAUUUUUUCAGGGGCUGUAAAACCGGGCUCUGACUAAUAUUAUGACAGGCGUCCUAUUGGAGCGUGUUGUUGUGAGAGGCCAGAGCAGCAGACGAUGCCAGCCUCCCAUGGCCUGGUCCUGGAUUCCUCAGAUAUGGUUUUUCCACUGUGCCAUCGGACCGUGACACACGCUGACGACCACAGUGUGGCAUGUUUUUCUGAUCGGUUUGGUUCGGAUGAAGCAAGAAUUGAUAACAUCGCCAUGAAUAACUUCAUACAGAGACAUAGUAACUAAAGGUUAUAACAAUCCCAAAUACUCUGUUUAUUAAAGGCUAAAAUGAGAGGAUUAAUGUUUGCAGCAGCUGUGAUAAAGCUCUGGAGGCAUGAAUCACACAAUAUACUAAGACACAACAGUCACACUUUCAGGAAUCUGCUGAUCACUGCAAUAGACUUGGAUCAGCACUGAAGAUCCCAUAGCUUCAGGUAAAGUCAACAACUUGUUAACUCCCAGAUAUUCCAGUUUUUGGUAGAACCGUCCUUUGAAACUGGCCCCUGGUGUAUUCUUGACAGACAACCACAUAGAUUUUUUAGUUAUUUUUCAAAUCAAGCCUUCAGUUGAUAAAAAAGUCAAGGUAUAUAUUAAGUAUAUAUACUGGAAGUCGUAUAUGCGAAGGUUUUCCUGCCCAGACCUCGAGAAGGGAUGAAAGACUGAAAGCUGAAGUGCAAAGCUAACGUCUCUCUUUGAUGGACCACUUUGGGACUCGUGAGCGUGCUACAGUCUGAGGGAAGGAGUAGACAUUGUUAUGAAGUGCCAGUCCCAUUGUAAGUGGAUACACUGAGCUCGGAGGUUAUUUUAGGGUUCACAGUCACAUCUAAGGGCCUCAAGCAUCUCUGUUUUUUCUUCUGCCGUGUCUGACGGACGACACUGAAGAAUCUAUUUAAGAUCAAAGCCCGGAGAUCAAACACGCUGCAUCCAUAGGAGAAGGAGCGCAGUCACAUGAAUCUCAAUCACCGUCUGUCCCUUAGACCUGCAGUCCCGGAGAAGUGUCUGAGUUCUAUUAGUGGCCGGCACAACAGGUACUGCAAAGGCUCCACUGAGCGUUCCCAUGGUGAUUUAUCUGCAGCGUCAGCCACGCACAGACUGAGGCUGUCCCCAACGCCGAGGCCACGGCAGGAGCCUACGAGCCAGAGGUGCUGCCGUAGGAUGAAAGGACGAUUAGUUAUGAAUGGGCUUCAUCUCAGAGCACCGAAGGUCAGCUUCACAAAUGUUUUCUCCCUUUUUCCAAAUCAUUAAGCCCAAGGCAUCUUUUGGUAUGCGCCGAACACAAAGUCUUAAACCACCAGGCAGAAAUGUUUAAAGGUCCUCUGAGACUUCGCCUUUAGCAGAAUCCUGAGAAAGCGGGGGGCUAUGUGUCAUUUUAAAUGGAGUGGACAUAAAAGUGACUGCUCCAUCGGCUCGGAGUCUUAAAUUUGGAGAAAUGCAUGUCACCAGCCAAUGAGGCUUGAUUUCGCUCUCGGUUCUGGGCUUUGGUUCACUAAAGGAGUGAACAUGUAGGGACUGCAUGUCCUGACAAAGCACGCAACAUUUAACAUAAGUUAGAUGCUAGUUUGUUUUACAUGUGCAGCGAAUUAUCUUAAUCUGGAACCAACACUGUCUAAUUAUUAUUUGUAAAAAACAAACAGGAAAAAAGCAUAACCCCCAAAAUCUGAUACAGUCGCGUUUCAGUUUCUGCCACAGUUUAGAAAAUGGAUUCAAUAAAUCAAAGCAUUUCUUCAUCUGAAUCCAAUUCUUCGCACAAAAGGUACAUUUGACAUAAACUACAAGACAUAGGAGCAACAGGCUCCAAUGACGAUCAAUGAAGCACUGAUUCACACUGAGAUCAGUAGUUUGUAUUCUGCUGUCCACUGUGUUAUGACUGAUUAGUCGUGUUCAUAUACUUGGUUGAAAGUUGUAUUAUUUGAAUGUAAAAUGAGUUUUUGCUGCAUAUUUCCAGUGUUUUGACACGGUUAGAGCCUUCAGCAAACAAAGCGUGCCAUUAUGACAUUGGAGCUGCUGUUUAGACCUGUGAGUGAACUGUUAAGAGAAAAGUGUUGUUUCACUGGACGGCUGCAUACCUCAAUAAUAGAUAUUAGAGUUUGAUUCUGCAGUGGAUCACAGCAUUUCACAACAUCUCUAUGUUCACUCUAACUCAAAGAGAGAGGCUCCACAGGCGUAGCUGGGGUCAAAGGGCGUUAGAGGCUGGCCUGAGACACACCUGAUGGAUCAUUGGAAACUGCUACAGUACGUUGAAGUCGCAGUUUAACCCGUCUCACCUCCGGCUCCUCCACCGGAGGCGUCUGUACAGGUGGAGGAAGCGAGGACGGCUCUAUCCCGAAGCCGCAUUCCUCCAGCGAGGCCGACUGACUGAUGUGCAGCAAACGGAGGCCUUUGAUGUCGAAGUUGUUGCGCUAACUGGUGUCUUCCGUUGUAUCGUUCAGCCCAGAACUGAACACAACCGCCUGCCAGUCAAACGUCAUUUAGCCUGAAGCAGACGAUGGCCUAUAGAUGGAGAAAAUGGCACAUUUAAUGUGGCUGUUAAUGUAACCUCUGCUUGGCCUAUGUGUGUUUCUGCCAUUUUCCACAUGUAAAUAAACAAAGUCUCUGGAGCAGUGUGAAUCCAUGGCCACAUCACACUCAGAAUCAAAAUCAGCUGAGUCUUUGUAUGAGUGAGUGGAAGAAGGAGUGGUGGGUGGGCGUGAGACACGGCAGCGCUCCUUUGAAAGCGAUCUUUCCAAUUUCAGAUCCUUUUUUGUUCAUACAGUAUAUUUGGAAUUAUGUAAUAUUGAUGUUGCUAUCUGACUUGUUCAUUUGAGAGCUCAAAAAAAAAAAAAAAACGACAACUAAUUAUUAUUGUCACAUUUCACUCUCAAAUUCAAAUAGUUAGUGAAAAAUAGUCCUAAUGGCAGCAGGAAACCUGGACGCUGCUGCCGAAGGAAUGAAUAAGUGAAAAGGCUUGGAGGUAGGUGGAGGUCUGCAGCGUGAGCUCAGGGCGUCCUCUCUCCAACCAGGGUCAAACUGAGAGCGACAGUAGCUGCGCUGAAAUCCCAUUUCCUGCCGUGACCACCCACACUACAUGUAGAUAGAAACGUGGAUCAACGCCUUCAUCAGACGCUGUCCUGAGCGAGGCCUUCUCCUGUGUCAGCAUUAGCAUUACGAGGCAUCAACCAUCUCUGUUAUUCCCACGCAUGCUCCAAGGGAAGCGGUAUUCUCAUCAGGCCAACCGCCGCUCACCUCCGUAAUCGCCGCUAACUCGGAGGUAAUUCAACACCUCCGUAGAAACGCGGACGAUGACAUACCACAUGUGUUUCAGCUUGUUUCCCAGGCUGUUUUUAGAUGUGUUAUGGUUGUGGGCAUCCGUCAUAAUGCCAAGGUCAUGGCUUCUAGAUGGCUUUUCCACUAUUAGACCUCAUUAUAGCUCAUUAGGCCUCAGCUGCUUGUCUCUUCGCCCCUCGUAACACGCUCAUGCACACAUUUAUACACAUUUAAGCCUCGCCCGGGACGGACAGAUGGACAGUCGCACAUGUGCACCCGUACGAUACACGAACACCAACGCAGCCACGCCCGGCCCAAGCGGCGAAUAGCGGCGGCUGAGUGUUCCUAGAAACUGGUGUUGGGUAAAUAGAGAAGCUGGGAGCUAGUGCAGCAGGUGGUCCGAGUUCAGGUCCCACUGGAUGCAUUCCGCCCGGUCCCAACCGCAGGCCGAGGUAGCGCUGAGGUCUGGAAAACAAGUUCAUCAACAGCUCCUGCACUGGGAGCGUGUGUGUGUGUGUGUGUGUGUGUGUGUGUGUGUGUGUGUGUGUGUGUGUCUGUGAGCCAAGGAUCUGUCACAGAGCAGUCAGGCUUCUCUUGUCCCGCCUCUUCUCAAGCAGUGAAGUCCUCCAUCAGAGCUGACCCCUCUGUCCACGUGGGGCUCUGGCUCCUGCCAUUUAAAACAACCGCAUCGUUCCAUCAGCUUUCUACACAUGUUUAGUAAAGACCAAAUAAAACAAUGACGACGGUUCAUGGAAAAAAUUUAAUCUCCGGUGUCUGCAAUCGUGGUUUUCUGUGAAUUGGCUACUAACAAACAAAUGAUCACACAGAUCAGAAUGAAUACGUAAAAUGAUUACCUUCCUUUCCUUUACACUGGCUUCUGUUACAGGCAUUUCAUGUCACAGCUAAAAUCUCUGUCGACAGCUUCUCUAACUGUAACAAACACUUGGCUCCUUGAACGGACCUGCUCGUGCGAAUUGACUUCCUGAUGGAAACCCACAUCUCCUGUCGUUAGGGGUCGUAACUUUUGGAAAUCAGAAUACUGAGCAUAAAUAUUUUAAAUGGCACACUGUAAAACUGUGCAACAGUAUUUAAACCUUUCAAGGCUAAUGCCAUCACCACAGGGAUGUAAAGCUCAGACGGGUAAGUGGCCCAGAUAAUAACGUCCACCAUUAACUAGUCAAAUGCUUCACAAUGUGUAACAUUAUUCCUCUCUGAGGUUCAAGGUCAGUGCCUUGGAUUAAAAUGACAGACGGUGCUGACAUCCCCUUAGACACAGUUUUGUGUUGCUGUACCAGAGCAUAUGGUUCAAUAACAAAUUCAACUUUUAGCUUUGAUGACAUUUUAACAUUAUGAUAAAUAAUUAAGUAGCGCUAAUUUUCAGUCAAACAUGUUUUAAUUUGUAGCAAGCUGCGAAGUGGUGAAACCCAUUUAUGCGUUUGCAUGAUUAAUUUAACUCUUUAGCACUAAUCUCUUAAAAAAUAGUUCAUAGCCCAUGUUUAUGUUAAGAAUGCUCUACAACAAAUAUAUUUCUAUUAGUAUACAGUGUAUAUGCAGUGUGCCUCAUUUCAGCACUGUCAAAAAUGGGAGCAAUACUUGGAAGGAUGGUGGCUGGGGUCCAUUCUUCAUGGCACAAGCAUAGUUUUAGGAGGGAUUGGUUCCUUGUUACUGGAAUAAUUAAGAACUGAAAGCUGACACAGCGUGAGACGCUGCCUGUUAAAAUCCCACAGUCGACACUGUGGGAUCCAAAUUAGCUCCACUCUGAACAUAUUGACCAGCUGCUUCUCCAACACCUGCGAUGGUUUUACAGAUGCCCCCUACUGUACAAUACUCACUGCACUGAGAGGCUGCUGCAGAAUGUAAUCAAGCUGUUAUGAUACAGGGAUGCAAAGUGUGGAACUAUGGAGGAGAAUAAAGAUUCAAUGAUGCAAAUCACACUUUGCUUAUUGGCAACAGCUGUUUCUGCAAGCAGCCAUGAAAGCAGUUUGACAGUGAAGGUGCAUCGUUAGUCUAUACGUCCUCGAUCCCACAUCACACACGUUUUUUUAUGCUAAACAACCAAACCUGUAUGUUCAGGUUUAGUUGUUUAGCAAGAAGCUUGUUGUCCAGGAAACCGGGCUGGAUGUUCUCUGCGCGUGCAUAGUUGUAUAGAUUGAUAUCACCUCCCCACAACACACAACUGGUAUUGUGCCUUUUUGCUCCUCCGUCUCCCCACCCGUCACCGUGGAGCAUCAGAUAUGAGCCUGGACUAUUUAUGAGGUUACAAUGCUGCUGUCAGGGUCACUAAGAUUAAUGAAGGCUGUGUCUUGGCUGUGUCUUUGAUGGGUCACCUCCACUGCUACAGACGCUGUUAACGUCAGACCUCGGCACAAGUUGUCAGUUUGAUCUGAUGAGAUGAUACAUGGGUUAAAAAAACUCAUUGAUAAUUUAGACUUCUUUGAUCUAGGCCCAGUUCUUUACUUUUAGGAAUGAGCAGAAAAGGAGAUGUGCUGCUCCCCGUGAUAGUCGGGAACAGCAUGAAGCACAGAUAACACAGAUCUGUGCAGCGAUGCCAAUCAGUGGAACCUGCUCUGUUGACGUCACAUCCAAAAGACUCUGAGCUACUGGAAUGUGAAGCUUUUAUCUGUCUUGGCCACACGUCCGUGCUGUGCGAGCUUCGAGAAGCCACCGGGACGCUAACAUCUGAUAGCGCCGGAGCAGCGCUAUAAAUCAGACAGCGUUUCUAGCGGCUGACCGCACAAUGGCAGACGCGCCGCGAACCUUCUCGCUUCUCUGUGAACUCGCCCGGAGGUGGAGAUAUCAGAUGUUGUUCGUCCUAUGGGAUACACGUGGAGCCACCGAUGUCGGCCCGACGGCUCAUCACAUGAGUGAUGGCAACUUUAGAAAAGAAUGGAUCACCUGCUGGGUAGCAACAAAGGCCUCGCCUUGUGUUUCACACUGGGAUUAUGUAAAGCACUGCAGGGGAAGGAACCUCUAACACAACAACACUGGUACUGAUGUAAACCUAUGAAGGCUAGCGAUUACAUCACUCAGCAGUUUGCUAUGUUUAACAUUAUCGGACCAGUAAAGUACAGUAAAUGACACGUAUUUCUAAUGUUCCAGACGACAACAACACCAUGAUUUUACAAAGCAUCAACACGACAAACAAAUGCAGAACUGAAUCAGGUUUUUUUUACAUAAAAACAUUUCAGUAUUUUAAUAAAACAAAAGCAUUGCACUAAAAUCCAUUUAAUUGUGAUUAUUUUGGUUUUAUAACUAUAAUGUUGAAGGCCAUUCUAGACAUUUUUAAUAAAUUCUAAAAUGAAAAAUCAGGCAUAAACGUUGACUAAAAGCAGCAUUUGACAGUUGGAGCUGGGCUCAAACAUCUUGUUUGAUAAGAAAAAUAUUUUUUAUCUAUGGUGGUCUGUGGUGAAAAUAUAUCUAGUAGGAAUCAAUUCUGUAAGUAAGCCUUUGUAUUGGUGAUAUUUGACUGAGAAGCCUAUUUACAGACAAACUGCUGAGAGUUGGAUGUCAGAGAGUGGCAUGUUUGGCGAUAAGAAAGAAACACUAGGCCAACACCUCCUUGUCACAGUAGGUGUCAGUGAUAUUUCUUAUCUUGUGAAAGUGCUUGUUGAAAGGAUCUUGUACACCUGUGGCAUAAAAGCACAAUUUAACACCUUUGAAACUUUAUUUUUCAACACUUGCACUAAUCGUUUUAGUGAAAUGACACCGUGGACUUUUGUUUCCUGCUAAAGUUAAAGUUAGACACAGCUACAUUUUCCAGAUCUGUGCUCGAAGUGAUAUAGCAACUCGUAUGUGCGAGUGUUCAUUCAACCUGCGUGUUAAGUGCAAGUGUUUGAGUGUGUGUGUGUGUGUGUGCAUGAGUGUGUGCGUGUGCGUGCGUGUGUGUGUGUGUGUGUGUGUGUGUGUGUGUGUGUGUGUGUGUGUGUGUGUGUGAGUCUGUGUGUGCAUGCGUGUGUCUGUUUGUGUGCGUGCGUGUGCGGCAGCUUAGCGGGUGUGAGAUGACUAUCUGAGGCCAUACAUCAGGCCCGGUGUAAUUAUCAGGUCUCAAUGGGCUGCUGUGUUAUUUCUGCCCAGGGUGAGAUGCUUAUCUGGCCCUGUCAGCAGCCACCUGGAUGGAUGAGCCUGGGUCCUCGGAGCAGUGGCUCACCUUCCUCCUGCACCAAAGACAAACCCUCCAACUUCUCUUUGCAGACCGCGGCCGCCUCUGCUGCAGUGCUGAGCACAUCGAUGCUGCCACAGCUGAAAAUUCGCUGACCUUACUAGAUUUUUACUGAUAAACCUUCAUGUCAAAUUCUCUAGCUAAUUUACAUUAUCUACUGUACGUCUAUAAAUUAUUGUUGCCUAACCGUAUUGAAAAUGUAUUUUAUUGUGUAGUUACUUUUGGUACCAGAGGGAAAUGUAAACUACGUGGCAGCCAUAUUUAAUUUCUACAGUUUUCAUGUAAAUGCCAAUAAAUAUAAUAUUUGUAUUAUGAAUGUGUUGUGUUUAUUGUUUUAUGGGACCUGCUACAGUAUAGACUUGACUUCAGCCAACAUCAACCCUACGAAUCUUCAGAAGCCAUGUUGUUUACAGCCUCUUCUCUUCUCAUUGCUUUUCACUAAGGCGUUUUUUAUAAAUACUGCA